GAUGAACGCUGGCGGCGUGCCUAAUACAUGCAAGUCGAGCGAACAGAUGAGGAGCUUGCUCCUCUGACGUUAGCGGCGGACGGGUGAGUAACACGUGGAUAACAUACCUAUAAGACUGGGGUAGCUUCGGGAAACCGGAGCUAAUACCGGAUAAUAUAUUGAACCGCAUGGUUCAAUAGUGAAAGACGGUUGUGCUGUCACUUAUAGAUGGAUCCGCGCCGCAUUAGCUAGUUGGUAAGGAGACGGCUUACCAAGGCAACGAUGCGUAGCCGACCUGAGAGGGAGAUCGGCCACACUGGAACUGAGACACGUUCCCGACUCCUACGGUGGGCCGCAGUAGGGAAUCUUCCGCAAUGGGCGAAAGCCUGACGGUGCAACGCCGCGUGAGUGAUGAAGGUCUUCGGAUCGUAAAACUCUGUUAGUAGGGAAGAUCAAAUGUGUAAGUAACUAUGCACGUCUUGACGGUACCUAAUCAGAAAGCCACGGCUAACUACGUG
rnacentral:rRNA from 1 species